ACAGCUCAGCGUAGGCUUGCUGAAGAAGUGACCCGAUUUGUUCAUGGUGAAGAUGGACUUGGUGAAGCUAUUAAGGCCACUGAGGCUUUGAGACCUGGAGCUGAAACUAAGUUGGACUGGAAAACCAUUGAGGGCAUUGCUGAGGAUGUCCCAUCCUGCUCUUUGCCCUAUGAUGAGGUCCUUAAUCUCUCUCUUGUUGAUCUGUCGGUUUCUUCUGGCCUGCUUGAGAGUAAAUCAGCUGCCCGCCGUCUGUUGAAGCAAGGGGG
rnacentral:misc_RNA from 1 species